rnacentral:rRNA from 1 species
UACGAAGGGGGCGAGCGUUGUUCGGAAUUAUUGGGCGUAAAGAGCUCGUAGGCGGUUUGUCGCGUCUGCUGUGAAAACUCGGGGCUUAACCCCGGGCCUGCAGUGGGUACGGGCAGACUAGAGUGCGGUAGGGGAGACUGGAAUUCCUGGUGUAGCGGUGAAAUGCGCAGAUAUCAGGAGGAACACCGGUGGCGAAGGCGGGUCUCUGGACAGUUCCUGACGCUGAGGCACGAAGGCCAGGGGAGCAAACGGG